rnacentral:rRNA from 1 species
GUCCGCACAGUAAAACGAUGAAUACUAACUGUUUGCGAUACACAGCAAGUGGUACAGUGAAAACGUUAAGUAUUCCACCUGGGGAGUACGCCGGCAACGGUGAAACUCAAAGGAAUUGACGGGGGCCCGCACAAGCGGAGGAACAUGUGGUUUAAUUCGAUGAUACGCGAGGAACCUUACCCGGGCUUGAAUUGCAUUUGAAUAUAUGGGAAACUGUAUAGCCAGCAAUGGCAAAUGUGAAGGUGCUACAUGGUUGUCGU